AGGUAAACAAAAUGUCGACCACCAGUACGGAAUCGGAUGAAGAUGAAAGGCGUCGCUUACAGGACGCUGUUGUAGAUAUAUGCCCUGUAGUUAAAUCCAAUCAUCACACAGUAAAGCAAGGUGGGAAGAGACUAGAUAGCGUGUAGGUCAACAGAAUGAGAUCUGGCUUUCUAUAAACGAACACCCACACUCCUCCACAAAUGGAGAAAAGCACCGGUGUUGAGUUGUCUUUCUGGCUAUGGAUAUAAGCCUCCUCUUGGGCCCAUUUCACAAAAUGACUAUUUGAAGCCAAAAACCACUUCUUCGAUAGUAAAAUCUGCAACUGGUCUUAGCUGGAUAAGGGUUGAAAGUGCAGAUGUGCAGGGAUUGGAAAUAACUUCAGAAUUUAAAACAUUUCUAGCAGGGAAGCUGUCAAAAGUUCUUGACGAGUAAGUUUGUGUUUGAAAGAGUUUGUAAUGGCUUUGUACAUUUUGGGUUAUGAUGAAGUUAAAUGGACGAGUAAGAAUAAUUGUUUGAAACAUUGGAAAAAGACAUUUUUGGGGAUUUUACUUAUGGAACCAACAUGACUGGGUGUCAUGGAGUAUCUAAUUUUAGGUAAUGUUUGCCCAAAUGAAUAAACAAUUAAGUUAAAUUAGAAUAAUGAAAAUAACUGUUGAGAAUAUAUAGUGCUAUUUAUAUUACAUGCUCAAUUUAGUUAUUUUGUAUGCACCUUUUUUUCUGAGAGCAAACUACAUUUGAAAAAAAAAGAGAGAAACCUGCAAAUGUGUAUAUAAAAGUACCACUACUCUAAUUCCUUACUUAGCCCUAGGUGAAACACUGAAUCACAGGAAUCUCAUUGGACCUGUCAAAGCAGAUGUUUGUAUUAUAGUUUUUUGUGUGGCAAGCUUACCAAUCCAUAAGUGUGUAUGGCUGUUCACUUGUCAGAUGAAGGUAGCAUUUUCCUGCUUGAAGCCAUAUCCAUGAAGCAGUUGUUGCUCCGAUGGAAAUCUUGUUUUACAUAAAUUUUAUAUUGUACUCCUUUUUCCCUCAUUUUUUUCACAGCAGUUUGCAUGUUCAUUAGGGGAAUUCCCUUGGGCCUUAGUCACAUGGUACUUGGCUUUGAAUAUUGUUUAGAAAGGAAUGCUAUAAUCAUUUGUUUGAUGAAAUCCACUGGGUUGCUGACCAACUUCAUAUCAGUUACUCGAUAUUUUCUGCAUUUUUCAGUGUCACAGCUGGUAAGUGACACUGAAAAACGCACUAAUAUCAAAGUUGAAACAUACUGAAGUUUAGUCAACAUUUGUUCAAAUUUAUUCAAAACAAAAUUACUGUAUGUAUUUAUUACUUUUUAUGUUUUAUAAUCAAUUCAGUUUAUGAACACCAAGCGAUUAAAUUUUAAUUUUGCAGUUCAAUUGAAGAGACUCAAACCCUUGUGCAAACCAGUGAACAAAGCAAAUCAUCUGAUGAUAGUGAUUUUAAAUUGUUUUCCACGUCGCACAGCCAUGAUGAGGUGAAAAACAAAUAUGUGCAAAAAGAAACGAAAAAUGUCCACUAGUAGUGACAGCUCUGAGAACUUGUCAAAGUUUCUUGAAGUUGCAGUUUCUGCUGAGACAGUACUGAAUAAUGGUAAUACAAAGAACACUGCAGAUAUAGCUAGUCAAAAGUGUGAUUAUAUCCAAUCAAAUGAGAUGCAAAAUAAAACUGAGAAUGCAUCUAAAAAAACAAAGAAGAAGAAAAAUAAGCACAAAAAAGACAAAAAGACUGGAAACACACAGAAUAUAUCCUCUGUGACUUGAUGUGUAGCACACUUACUGACAUACAAUUUAAUAAAUGCAACAAUGAAUAAUUA